UACGUAGGGGGCUAGCGUUGUCCGGAAUCAUUGGGCGUAAAGAGCGUGUAGGCGGUCCGGUAAGUCCGCUGUGAAAGUCGGGGGCUCAACCCUGGGAUGCCGGUGGAUACUGUCGGGCUCGAGUCCGGAAGAGGAAAGUGGAAUUCCUGGUGUAGCGGUGAAAUGCGCAGAUAUCAGGAAGAACACCCGUGGCGAAGGCGGCUUUCUGGGACGGUACUGACGCUGAGACGCGAAAGCGUGGGGAGCGAACAGG
rnacentral:rRNA from 1 species